CAAGUCGAACGCGAAAGUUCCUUUCGGGGAGCGAGUAGAGUGGCGCACGGGUGAGUAACACGUAGGUAAUCUACCUUUGGAUUGGGAAUAACCACCGGAAACGGUGGCUAAUACCGAAUAAUGCAGCGGCACCUAUGGUGACAGUUGUUAAAGCGGGGGAUCGCAAGACCUCGCGUCUAAAGAGGAGCCUGCGGCGGAUUAGCUAGUUGGUAAGGUAACGGCUUACCAAGGCGAUGAUCCGUAGCCGGCCUGAGAGGGCGGUCGGCCACACUGACACUGACAUACGGGUCAGACUCCUACGGGAGGCAGCAGUCGGGAAUUUUGGGCAAUGGGCGAAAGCCUGACCCGGCAACGCCGCGUGAAGGAUGAAAUCCCUCGGGAUGUAAACUUCGCAAGAACGGGAAGAAUAAGUCGGUGCCAACACCAUCGACGAUGACGGUACUGUUUGUAAGCUCCGGCUAACUCCGUGCCAGCAGCCGCGGUAAUACGGGGGGAGCAAGCGUUGUUCGGAUUUACUGGGCGUAAAGGGCGUGUAGGCGGCCACCGCAAGUCGACUGUGAAAUCUCCGGGCUUAACUCGGAAAGGUCAGCCGAUACUGCGGGGCUAGAGUGCAGAAGGGGCAACUGGAAUUCUCGGUGUAGCGGUGAAAUGCGUAGAUAUCGAGAGGAACACCUGCGGCGAAGGCGGGUUGCUGGGCUGACACUGACGCUGAAACGCGAAAGCUAGGGGAGCGAACGGGAUUAGAUACCCCGGUAGUCCUAGCCUUAAACGAUGAAUGCUUGGUGUCUGGGGUUUUAUAGUCCCCGGGUGCCGUCGCUAACGCUUUAAGCAUUCCGCCUGGGGAGUACGGUCGCAAGACUGAAACUCAAAGGAAUUGACGGGG
rnacentral:rRNA from 1 species